rnacentral:rRNA from 1 species
CCUACGGGGCGCAGCAGUGGGGAAUAUUGCGCCAUGGGCGAAAGCCUGCCGCCGCGCCUCCGCGUGCUUUCUGAAGGUCUUCGGAUCGUAAACCUCUGUCCGCAGGGAAGAACGGUCACUGUGCUAAUCAGCAGUGAAUUGACGGUACCUGCAAAGGAAGCACCGGCUAACUCCGUGCCAGCAGCCGCGGUAAUACGGAGGGUGCGAGCGUUAAUCGGAAUUACUGGGCGUAAAGCGAUCGUAGGCGGUAUGUCAAGUCAAGGGUGAAAUCCCCGCGCUCAACGUGGGCA